UAGGGAAUCUUCCGCAAUGGGCGAAAGCCUGACGGAGCAACGCCGCGUGAGUGAUGAAGGUCUUCGGAUCGUAAAACUCUGUUAUUAGGGAAGAACAAAUGUGUAAGUAACUAUGCACGUCUUGACGGUACCUAAUCAGAAAGCCACGGCUAACUACGUGCCAGCAGCCGCGGUAAUACGUAGGUGGCAAGCGUUAUCCGGAAUUAUUGGGCGUAAAGCGCGCGUAGGCGGUUUUUUAAGUCUGAUGUGAAAGCCCACGGCUCAACCGUGGAGGGUCAUUGGAAACUGGAGAACUUGAGUGCAGAAGAGGAGAGUGGAAUUCCAUGUGUAGCGCUGAAAUGCGCAUAGAUAUGGAGUCACACCAGUGGCGAAGGCGACUUUCUGGUCUGUAACUGACGCUGAUUUUCGAAAGCGGGCGGAUAAAACAGG
rnacentral:rRNA from 1 species